CUACGGGAUGCAGCAGUGAGGAAUACUGCACAAUGGGGGGAACCCUGAUGCAGCAACGCCGCGUGGAGGAUGACGCAUUUCGGUGUGUAAACUCCUUUUAUAUGUCAAGAAAAUGACGGUAGCAUAUGAAUAAGCACCGGCUAACUCCGUGCCAGCAGCCGCGGUAAUACGGAGGGUGCAAGCGUUACUCGGAAGCACUGGGCGUAAAGGAUGCGUAGGCGGGUUGGAAAGUCAGGUGUGAAAUCCUACAGCUUAACUGUAGAACUGCACUUGAAACUUCUAAUCUAGAGUAUGGGAGGGGGAGAUGGAAUUAGUGGUGUAGGGGUAAAAUCCGUAGAUAUCACUAGGAAUACCUAAAGCGAAGGCGAUCUCCUGGAACAUUACUGACGCUAAGGCGUGAAAGCGUGGGGAGCAAACAGGAUUAGAUACCCCCGUAGUC
rnacentral:rRNA from 1 species